AUUUAUGGCGGCUGUGCGGGGGACAUCUUCGGGUGUGCCGGAUUCUCUUGUCCGGUCGGCUAACCCGCGUACAGCUGCCACCCAC
rfam:Pseudomonas fluorescens F113, complete genome.